rnacentral:lncRNA from 1 species
UUUAGGUAGCAAGAUACCUUAGAUAUGCAUGUAUGUAGCAAAAAGAUACCUCACAAAAUAUAUAUAUGUAUGUUUAGGUAGGAAGAUACCUUAGAUAUGCAUGUAUGUAGCAAAAAGAUACCUCACAAAAUAUAUAUAUGUAUGUUUAGGUAGAAAGAUACCUUGGAUAUGCAUGUAUACAGCAAAGAUACCUUACAAAACAUAUAUAUGUAUGUUUAGGUAGCAAGAUACCUUGGAUAUGCAUGUAUAUAGCAAAAAUACCUCA